UAGUAACGGCGAGUGAAGCGGGAAGAGCUCAAGCUUAAAAUCUCCGUGCAAGUUUUGCGCGGCGAAUUGUAGUCUAUAGAGGCGUGGUCAGCGUGGGCGCUUGGGGCAAGUUCCUUGGAAGAGGACAGCAUGGAGGGUGAUACUCCCGUUCAUCCCUGAGUGGCUCGUGCGUACGACCCGUGUUCUUUGAGUCGCGUUGUUUGGGAAUGCAGCGCAAAGUAGGUGGUAAAUUCCAUCUAAAGCUAAAUAUUGGUGCGAGACCGAUAGCGAACAAGUACCGUGAGGGAAAGAUGAAAAGAACUUUGAAAAGAGAGUUAAAGAGUACCUGAAACUGCUGAAAGGGAACCGAAUCGUUUCCAGUGUCUAUAAUCCGUGGCAUAUUUCAUUGGCGAGUGUGCGCGUGCGUGUGCUGUGGCAGUGGCUUUUUGGCUGCGCUCGGUGUGUGUGCUGUGUGUGCUUGCUGGUGCCCUGUGCUGCGGUGGGACGUCAAGGUCAGUUCGUAUGCUGCGGGAAAUGGCUGCCGAGGAGGUAGGGCUUACGCUCGCGUUUGUCUGUUAUAUCUUGGUGGACGAGUCGUCGCGGUUGGGACUGAGGUGCCUACAACGUGCUUUUGAGUGGGUUUGUGUCUCCGUGUGCGCCGUGUGCGGAUAGCUUGCUAUGCGUGUGUGGUUGUGUGUGGAUUGAUGCGGGCUUUAACUUGUCGCCGUUC
rnacentral:rRNA from 1 species